GAGUUUGAUCCUGGCUCAGAUUGAACGCUAGCGGCAGGCUUAAUACAUGCAAGUCGAGGGGCAGCACGGUUAGCAAUAACUGGUGGCGACCGGCGCACGGGUGCGUAACACGUAUACAAUCUACCUUAAACAGGGGGAUAGCCUUUCGAAAGAGAGAUUAAUACCCCGUAAUAAAUUGAACGGCAUCGUUUGAUUUGAAAGCUCCGGCGGUUUGAGAUGAGUAUGCGUCUGAUUAGCUAGUUGGUGAGGUAACGGCUCACCAAGGCGACGAUCAGUAGGGGACCUGAGAGGACUAACCCCCACACUGGUACUGAGACACGGACCAGACUCCUACGGGAGGCAGCAGUAAGGAAUAUUGGUCAAUGGAGGCAACUCUGAACCAGCCAUGCCGCGUGCAGGAUGACGGCCCUAUGGGUUGUAAACUGCUUUUAUACAAGAGAAAACCCUGGUACGUGUACCAAGUUGAUAGUAUUGUAAGAAUAAGCAUCGGCUAACUUCGUG
rnacentral:rRNA from 1 species